UGCAUGAGUGCAACUCUCCGUACAUCGUG
rnacentral:piRNA from 1 species